UAUAUAGUGUCGAUAAUACAUAAUGGAGAGAGAAGAACAGACGUCAUACCGCCGGAGCAAAGUUUGGGGGGGGGGCAUUAAAAGGGGGGGGGGGGGGGUCGGCGUGCGGGAGGGGGGAUAUUAUAGGGUGGUUAAAAAGGGGGGGGGGGGACACACGAAGGGAAUAUAUCGGGGCUGAGCGCGCCAGCAUCAGCGAUGGAGCGUAUUAAACACCAAUGGGGGGGGGUGAAGGGGGUGUGGGGUGGGGGUCAUGUCCAAUGGGGGUCUCCAAUGGGGAUAUUCUUAAGGGGAGAUUCAAAUGGGGUGGGGGACAACCCCAAUGGGGUGGGGGUACCCCCAGUGGGGCUUACAAAUGGGGUGGGGGCACCUCAAUGGGGUGGGGACACCCCCCAAUGGGGUGGGGACACCGGCGUGGGGUGGGGGCACCCCUCAAUGGGGCCUACAAUGGGGUGAGGGCACCCUCAAUGGGUUGGGGGCACCCUCAAUGGGGUGGGGACACCCCCAAUGGGGACCUACAAUGGGGUGAGGGCACCCUCAAUGGGGUGGGGACACCCUCAGUGGGGUGGGGGUACCCUCAAUGGGGCCUACAAUGGGUUGAGGGCACCCUCAAUGGGGUGGGGACACCCCCAAUGGGACCUAGAAAGGGUUGGGGGCACCCUCAAUGGGUUGAGGGCACCCUCAAUGGGGUGGGGGCAUCCCCAAUGGGGCCAACAAUGGGGUGGGGUCACCCCAAAUGGGUUGAGGGCCCUCUAAGGUGA
rnacentral:lncRNA from 1 species